rnacentral:rRNA from 1 species
AGAGUUUGAUCCUGGCUCAGGACGAACGCUGGCGGCGUGCUUAACACAUGCAAGUCGAACGAUGACCUCCAGCUUGCUGGAGUGAUUAGUGGCGAACGGGUGAGUAACACGUGAGUAACCUGCCCUUGACUCUGGGAUAAGCACUGGAAACGGUGUCUAAUACCGGAUACGAACCUCAGCCGCAUGGCUAGGGGUUGGAAAGAAUUUUGGUCAAGGAUGGACUCGCGGCCUAUCAGCUAGUUGGUGAGGUAACGGCCCACCAAGGCGACGACGGGUAGCCGGCCUGAGAGGGUGACCGGCCACACUGGGACUGAGACACGGCCCAGACUCCUACGGGAGGCAGCAGUGGGGAAUAUUGCACAAUGGGCGAAAGCCUGAUGCAGCAACGCCGCGUGAGGGACGACGGCCUUCGGGUUGUAAACCUCUUUUAGUAGGGAAGAAGCGAAAGUGACGGUACCUGCAGAAAAAGCACCGGCUAACUACGUGCCAGCAGCCGCGGUAAU